CAGGACGAACGCUGGCGGCGUGCUUAACACAUGCAAGUCGAACGGUGACGAAUGGAGCUUGCUCUGUUCUGAUCAGUGGCGAACGGGUGAGUAACACGUGAGUAACCUGCCCCUGACUCUGGAAUAACUUCGGGAAACCGAAGCUAAUACCGGAUAUGACACAGAGCCGCAUGGUUUCUGUGUGGAAAGUUUUCGGUUGGGGAUGGACUCGCGGCCUAUCAGCUUGUUGGUGAGGUAAUGGCUCACCAAGGCGACGACGGGUAGCCGGCCUGAGAGGGCGACCGGCCACACUGGGACUGAGACACGGCCCAGACUCCUACGGGAGGCAGCAGUGGGGAAUAUUGCACAAUGGGCGAAAGCCUGAUGCAGCGACGCCGCGUGAGGGAUGAAGGCCUUCGGGUUGUAAACCUCUUUCAGUAGGGAAGAAGCGCAAGUGACGGUACCUACAGAAGAAGCACCGGCUAACUACGUG
rnacentral:rRNA from 1 species